UUCGAUUAUUAGAUACCCGUGUAGUCCUAGCCGUAAACGAUACUCGCUAGGUGUCGGCCACGGUGCGACCGUUGUCGGUGCCGUAGGGAAGCCGCGAAGCGAGCCACCUGGGAAGUACGGCCGCAAGGCUGAAACUUAAAGGAAUUGGCGGGGGAGCACCACAACGGGUGGAGCUUGCGGUUUAAUUGGAUUCAACGCCGGAAAUCUUACCGGGACCGACAGCAAUAUGAAGGCCAGGCUGAAGACUUUGCCGGAUUAGCUGAGAGGUGGUGCAUGGCA
rnacentral:rRNA from 1 species